rnacentral:lncRNA from 1 species
AUAUUUUUCAAUAGAUUUUCUUAAAAAGAAAAAAAAAGUGUUUUAUCUCAAGGUGACGUGUCAGCCCCUCAUCGGUGGGGGUAUUUUGCCCUUGAGAUUGCAUUAAUGCCUGGUAGUAGCUUCCUUGCUGCAGAAAAUCAAAAUCUUCUUAAUAAAGGAAGUGAAUGAUUGAUUAUAGGUAGCAUAAAAUUUCUGGUUUUGUCAUUACUCAUUACUGCGAUCUUGAGUCGAUCUCUCAGCAUUUGCUGGAUGAAUUCAAGCUAGUGAAUAAAAAAAUAAAGAAAAUACCCUGUCGAGAUUAAUUUUUUCCUUGUAUGUGCUGAGAAAAGAGAGAUCAAUUUAUCAUUUAAUGGUACCCUUCCAUGACAUUACUUCCCAAGACAAUUGGGAAGGGUUCACGUAGUAAUGUUUUCCUUCCAAAUGUCAAAUAUCAGUCACAAUCUGUGAGGACGUGGGUAUACACUUAUUGGAGAAUAGCAUUUUCCUUUUCUUUUUUUUUUCUUUUUAUCCAACACUGCAUUAAAGACGAAGAAAAUCAAAGUAUGAUCAAUGGGCUGACCAUAACAUUUAAAUUACUGAAAAUCAUGGAUAUCAAAUAGCAGUUGAAGCAAUUGCUUUCUUUUACUCAAUUGCGAUUGGUGUGGUUGUUAACCGUUGCUAUCAAUAUUGUUUAAAUAUUCAUGAAUUUUAA